rnacentral:lncRNA from 1 species
GCAACGGCUUGCUGCAGCCAUAUUUGCCGGCUUGCUGCAGCCAUAUUUGCUCGUCUCCCGUGGAUGUGAGGUUUCUCAGUGGUUUCUCUCCAUCUGAGGGGCUUUUGGGGGAACAUUUUUAGUUCCCCUACCACCAUGCCUUAUGGUGUAUUUAAGAAAACAUAUCAAAAUUCCAUAUUUUUGACAUUUUGGUAUGUUCUUGUACGGUUUUCUUGACACGUCCUCCAUAUUUUUUGAUAUGCGUAAUAUUUUUAGUCAAUUUUUCAUUUUUAAGGAAUAUUUCCUUGUGCAUUUUGGUUGACUCCUGUGUACGGUGGACUUACCUUUCUUUCAGGUUUCUGCAUUUUUGCCCAUCGGGGCCACGGAUACCUGUAUGUCCUCCCCACCGUUCCAUGCCCAACGGGGCUUUGGAUACGUACCUGCCUUUUAAUUCUUUUUUUCUUCUUCUUCUUAUUUCUUCUAAACUUGCCCAUCUGGGCUGUGGAUACCUGCUUUUAUUCUUUUUUUUCUUCUCCUUAGCCCAUCGGGGCCAUGGAUACCUGCUUUUUAUCCAAAAAAACGCUUAUUUCUCGGUCCAUCGGGACCUCGGAUACCUGCGUUUAAUCUUUUUCCCAUGCCCAACGGGGCCUCGGAUACCUGCUUUAUUUUUUUUUCUUUUGCUUUUGCCCAUCGGGGCUGUGGAUACCUGCUUUAAUUUUUUUUUUUUCACGGCCCAUCGGGGCAUUUGGUGGAUGGAAAUAUGGUUUUGUGAGUUAUUGCACUGCCUGGAAUAUCUAUGCGUCUUAUUCCCGUUUACUGUUGCUGCUGAUCGUUUGGUGCGGUGUGAGUGAACCUAUGGCUUAGAAAAAACGUCUUGGUGCUUAAGCUGAGCGGGUGUUAAAGGGCGUGGAGAUCCCGCGUCCGCCAUUACGGCUUCUGCGUGACAACGGCUAUUCUCGGGCCAGUUACGCCAAGAAUUAGGACGCGGAGGAGCACAGCGAACGGGAUAGAAGCAACUAAGUGCGCUGCGCUAGCUAAAGGCUUUCUUUAUAUGUGCGGGUUCGGACUUGAUUUGUGGCAGCAUUUGAGGAAUGGUGCUAUCCGGAAGUAGAAAGUCAAGGAGCUCUCGUAUAUUCGCGUGUGGUGUCGGGUGAAAGCCGCGGAGGACGAGGGGCUAGGGCUCGGGAUGUGUGUGCAUACGGACCCCUGGCGGGAGUUCCCGUGGCUCUAAGGGCUGCUUAGAGAUCUACAAAAUGGCGGCUCGGGUACCGCACCCGAGGCUCGACAGCCCAACCUUUGUUUUAACGCGUAGCAAUGGAAAUAGGACACUUAGGUCAUACAAGGAAAGAUGGCGGCUCAAGCUCUUGCUGCGGUAUAACGCAGAGAGCUUUGUUUUUCACAUGUCAGCUUCAUGGCUGAGUUAGCCUGGAGAUGUGGCACAUGCUCUUGAGUGUGUCUACGAUGGCGGUUGUCAUGUGAUCAGCCCUCGAGGGGUUUCUUUUCGUGAAUUUUUGGCGGGCUUAAGCCACUUGGCGGGCUUUGCCCAAGGGUAGACUUGGUGCAUUAUGGUAGUGAGUGGUUGGUUCUACCUUGUGCCACACGAAGCUGAGGCAAGGCUAGGUGGAAGUGUUGGUUGCCACUUGACGUAACUCGUCAGAUAUGGGCACGACUUUGGAAGUGUUGGUGUCCGCUUGACCUAACCAGUUAGAAAUGUGCAUUAUUGCUUGGUGGAGAGGGUGUGAUGACUCGCUGUCCCAUAAGGACUUGAGUUAGCUUAGUACUUCACAUCUGUCCUUAGUCAUCGUUAUUUCGAAGUGCCUGCCCAGGUGGGAGAGCACAUGCUUGCGAUUCUAACACUGAAGUGUUGAAUAACGUCUGAGCCGAUCCGAGGGACUGAGGCUGCGGGUUCCUGACGUCGAUGUGAAUCAUUGAAACCUCAUCUGUUAAAAGAAAGAAAAGUAUUUAAGGCCAUUUUAAGGGCAUUUGACCCAUCCGCUUGCUUUCCUAUUUAUCUAAGUCUCUUACAGUGCUCUUAUACGUGGUGGUGCAAGCUAAGCCUCACCCCAUUCCUUUGUGUUGUUGGUUCCGUGGCCUAAGACUAGUCUACUUACUCCUUGGCCUCCGAUUUAGCCAGCACUGUGAUCUCAAGCGGUUCUCUAAGCCUUCUGUGGGCAUAGUGGUGACCCUGGCCAGAGUCAUAGUAGAUCACCCAUCACUGGCCAAGAGGUAGAAUCCUACCGGAUCUACCCCAUAACUAUUGCUGGGUUGGAUUUUGAUUUAUAUGAAUGUUCUGGAUGUCAACGAUAAGUCUGAUAGUGUGGUUUGCUAGUGUUUGAAUUUAAGACYGAAGUGAUUGUUUUAAAAACGUAUUUAGGAGCCUUGCUUACUUGUAGAACUCAUUUUAGUUACCUAAAGUGAAUUGUUUGGAGUCCUUAAAGUUUUCAAUCAUUUUUUUGGAAKAUGAUACUCAAAUUACUUGGCACUUAAAUGUGCUUUCUUCCAAACUCAUCUAUUGAACUACUCCUAAAAGUUUUGAGUCUUACAACACAGCUAUUGUUAACGUAAAGUUAACGCUAUGACUGGGUAUCAGAAGGAGUAUCUGAAGCUCUACAUCAGUCCAGGCUUUGCUUUUGUUGCUGUCCUUGAUGCCAUAUUGACUAAUGGCUUUACUUGUCGGCAAGAGCCUUCAAGUGUAGUGCUCUGUGUCUCUAUCAGACUUACUAUUGUAAUAGUAAUAUGAACGCCUACAUUUCAACUUUCUGUGCUUUCUUGCCUUUAUGGCAGUCAUGAGUUUCACUCACUUAAUGAGUUUCUCCUCAAAAUCAUCAAAUACUGCUACUGCAAUUGCUGCCCUUGCCCCUGCCCCAGCCCCUGCCCCAGCCCCAGCCCCAGCCCCAGCCCUCACCCCUGCCCCACCCAACCAGCCCAGCCCAGCCCAGCCCUGCCCUAACCCAAUCCUAGCCCCAGGCCCAGAUUCUCUCAGACCUAUCCCCAGUCCACUUCUGCCUAGAGAAAUUCCAAUCUUCAUUGAUGCAACACUAAAAUGCAGAGCCCAUUACUCAGCCUGAAAGACUGAGCUAUCCUAUCCACACCCUAUACCCCUCCAUGCUGACUUUCAGAGUCACAGUUUCACUCACUUAAUGCAUACAGUCCUAUUGCCAAACUGCAGAGCCCAUUACUCAGUCUGUAAGACUGAGCUAUCCUAUCCACACCCUAUACCCCCUCCAUGCUGACUUUCAGAGUCACGAGUUUCAUUUAAUGCAUACAGUCCUAUUGCCAAACUGCAGAGCCCAUUACUCAGUCUGUAAGACUGAGCUGUCCUAUCCACACCCUAUACCCCCUCCAUGCUGACUUUCAGAGUCACGAGUUUCAUUUAAUGCAUACAGUCCUAUUGCCAAACUGCAGAGCCCAUUACUCAGUCUGUAAGACUGAGCUGUCCUAUCCACACCCUAUACCCCCUCCAUGCUGACUUUCAGAGUCACGAGUUUCACUUAAUGCAUACAGUCCUAUUGCCAAAAUUCAGCGCCCAUUACUCAGCCUUAAGACUGAGCUAUCCUAUCCAUACCCUAUACCCCCUCCAUGCUGACUUUCAGAGUCACGAGUUUCACUCACUUAAUGCAUACAGUCCUAUUGCCAAACUUCAGUGCCCAUUACUCAGCCUUAAGACUGAGCUAUCCACACCCCAUACCCCGUCCAUGCUGACUUUCAGAGUCACGAGUUUCACUUAAUGCAUACAGUCCUAUUGCUAAAAUUCAGUGCCCAUUACUCAGCCUGUAAGACUGAGCUAUCCUAUCCAUACCCUAUACCCCCUCCAUGCUGACUUUCAGAGUCACGAGUUUCACUUAAUGCAUACAGUCCUAUUGCCAAAAUGCAGAGCCCAUUACUCAGCCUGUAAGACUGAGCUAUCCUAUCCAUACCCUAUACCCCCUCCAUGCUGACUUUCAGAGUCACGAGUUUCACUUAAUGCAUACAGUCCUAUUGCCAAAAUUCAGCGCCCAUUACUCAGCUUUAAGACUGAGCUAUCCUAUCCAUACCCUAUACCCCCUCCAUGCUGACUUUCAGAGUCACGAGUUUCACUCACUUAAUGCAUACAGUCCUAUUGCCAAACUUCAGUGCCCAUUACUCAGCCUUAAGACUGAGCUAUCCACACCCCAUACCCCGUCCAUGCUGACUUUCAGAGUCACGAGUUUCACUUAAUGCAUACAGUCCUAUUGCUAAAAUUCAGUGCCCAUUACUCAGCCUGUAAGACUGAGCUAUCCUAUCCAUACCCUAUACCCCCUCCAUGCUGACUUUCAGAGUCACGAGUUUCACUUAAUGCAUACAGUCCUAUUGCCAAAAUGCAGAGCCCAUUACUCAGCCUGUAAGACUGAGCUAUCCUAUCCAUACCCUAUACCCCCUCCAUGCUGACUUUCAGAGUCACGAGUUUCACUUAAUGCAUACAGUCCUAUUGCUAAAAUGCAGAGCCCAUUACUCAGCCUGUAAGACUGAGCUAUCCUAUCCAUACCCUAUACCCCCUCCAUGCUGACUUUCAGAGUCACGAGUUUCACUUAAUGCAUACCGUCCUAUUGCCAAACUUCAGUGCCCAUUACUCAGCCUUAAGACUGAGCUAUCCACACCCCAUACCCCGUCCAUGCUGACUUUCAGAGUCACGAGUCUCACUUAAUGCAUACAGUCCUAUUGCCAAACUUCAGCGCCUCAGCGCCCAUUACUCAGCCUGUAAGACUGAGCUAUCCUAUCCAUACCCUAUACCCCCUCCAUGCUGACUUUCAGAGUCAUGAGUUUCACUCACUUAAUGCAUACAGUCCUAUUGCCAAACUUCAGUGCCCAUUACUCAGCCUUAAGACUGAGCUAUCCUAUCCAUACCCUAUACCCCCUCCAAGCUGACUUUUAGAGUCCUACUUUACUUUUGUCCAUGGACAAGCAAACAAAGAACUCUUGUACGUCAUGUUAAUCAAGAUACACCAAGCGAACAAGAGUUUUGUGUCAGAGAAUUGCCACACAGGGAUCAUCUCUCAAGUCUCCUUCCUUAAGGAAGGAAAAACCAUUCUGUCAUUGCUGCAGUAGUCACGGUCCCAAGUUUCUGAGCAGUGUCAAGCCGUCUUUUCUCAUGUGUUGUCUUGAGCACUGAAUAAUUCUAACUGUCCGAAAUUUAUCCGUUGGAUUAGACUCCAACUAGUCCAGCCCCGUGUGCAUUUAACAAACACAGGUCUGCUAUCGGACAGUUAAAGUGCUCAGUCCCAAUUCUCAAGGCAUUGGCCAUUAAAGGGGGUACUAUAUACUGUUUGUUCAUGUGCUGGCACGGGUGCUAUCGCCCCAGGCCACAUCUUUUUAACUGAGGGAGAUACAUCCAUUUGUUCAUGAUAUUGUAUCCUAGUUCCACAGGCUCCCCUUAUUUCAGCCAAAAACCUCUGCACUGGGACAGUUUAUGUGGAUAAUCCUGACUAGGAACUGAAUCUUUUCUCAAGGUCCUGCUUUAUGUAAAGAGGGUGCUGAUUAUUUAAAGCCUCUUAUACAAUUGUGCAAAACUACAGUUCAAGCUCCCUUCUGUUUCUAACCAAGAUCCCAUACCCUCAUACCCUAAUGGGUGACAAUAAAGGGUGCCAACCGAUAAGACCACUUCUCUGUCUGGUCUUUCAGGUGUGCUGGGGGAUCAAACCUAGAGUCUUGAGCACGCUAGUAAAGCACUCUGUCAUAGAGCUACAGCCCCACCGUGUGGUGGUUUGAGAGAACGGUCUCCUAUGUAGCCUGGGCUGGGCAGGCACUCAAUCCUCAGUCCCAGUUAUGGUAAUUACAGGCAUUGAUUGCCACCUGUAAUGUAAACAUUUGUGCCUGGUUUUGUGUGCACAGCUGCAUUUAUCCCUCUUUCUAAGAAUUGGAUAAAGAAACCAAACUAAGUCAUUUGUAUUCAAGAAGACCUUUGAACUCAGACUCAAUCUGUUCUGUUUUUAAUUUCCAGACUGGCCUGGAACUUUAUAUAUAUAUACAGCCCAGGCUAACCUUGAGUUUAGGAUCUAGCCUGUGCUUCACAAGUGUGGGCAUAUCUGGUGUCUACCAUUAUGCCCUGCAAUCCUUCACAUUGUGAAUGUGCAUACUUCAUUUCCCUGUAGUAAUAUGCAUCUGGUAAAAACCUUACCUUAUUUGCAUUGCAGCAGAAGGUGCCCAGUAUUUAAGAUCCUUAACAUAGUAAAUGUGCACAGUGCUGUCUUAACUGUCUUGUACAUAUUCUCAUGUCCACAGUUGUGCCUUUUAGAUCGGGACUCCUGUACUUAUCAAAGCAAAGGGGCUCAUUAAUAUAAAACCUCUUUCACGAGACUAUAGAAUGAAAUGAUUCCAACACUGUCAAUGGUCCUUCAAGGUAAGACUUCUGUCUCUGAUCAUUCAUAUCCUCUUUGCUUUAUGGAAAUAUGUGCUGUUCACUUGAAACCCAUUUCUCAAACUAUUUAUGUACAUACUGGCAAUUUUAGUUUUACUCACUUUGAAGUGUAGAAGUGGUGUUGACCUAUAAGGUCUCAUUUUGUGCCUUGCUAAUAAUGACUGAUUUGUAGUUGUCCUUCUCUUAACUACAGAAGGAAAAUACUCCCUGCCCUUUCAGCAGGGAAUGAACAUUGGCAAAGGGCCUUAUGUUUGAACAGCAUAAAACUGUAACGGCCACAAGCAUGUACCUUGCAUAUUAGUGUGCAUUCACUGCACACGUCUCAUUCCAUUUAGAGAUGAUCCUACUCUCAAACCCUUUUGCAGUACAGCAAGGGUCACUAAUCUUUUGGCCUCUUCAUCUUCCUGGACACUGGAUAAGGAUAUCCCCUCCUUUCCACUCUUUAAUUUCCAGGACUGUCUAUUACUUUAAGAACUUAGUAUUUGCAUAAAGGGUGUGGGUUUAAUUGAUCACACCAAGUCCCUUGAACAUUAUGUACAUAACAGGGACAUGAUUCAUUCAUUUUAAUAAAAUAAAAAUAUUUGGGCAUUUAGUGUGUAAAAUUACAGUUAUCCACACACAACCUUAUUGCUUUAAGGACCAUUGUAUCUCUUUUGCACUACUGCAAGAGAUACUGUUUUUCCCCCAAGGUUCCUGCUAGUGGAACAUUAAUAUACAGUGAAUUUUCCCUUGUCUUUGCCAGUAGACAAAGGCCAUACUCCUUCACCUUUUAUUUGUAGUAUAUCAGGGUUUGCUGAUCAACCAAGGCUGCAUUCUUUUGGACUGUUAUCAUAUAUUAUUAUAUGUACGCAUAUGCACUGCCUCCUGCUCUGUGCACUAGGAAAGGAUCCCACUCACUUCCUUACCACCUUUCAGCAGGAUGUGUUACUGUUCAAGACUUGCAUUUGGAAAGUUCACAUGAACAAUUUCUAAGCACUUUCUUUUGAGAACUACUGUACCCCUUCUUCCCCGCGCUUAAAACAGAAAGAGGUUUUUAACAAGUGCUCUUCAUUUGGACUUAAGUGCAUUAAUGCAGUUGUCCAUCAUUACCUUUGGAAUAGGAUUUUACAUCCUUGUACUCCUUUGACACUAGAGGCACAUUAAUUAUUAAUAUGUACCCUUAUACAUAUGGACUUAUAUAGCAGAAAGGGUUCUGAAAUGCCUACCUUUUGACUGGGGCUGCUGAGUAGUAGUAACUAUUAAUAACCUCAGCAUUUGGAUGAUUACUGUGCAAAAAUGUCAAGGACCUGUGUGCUCUCUUUGCAUACUAUCAAGGCUAUUAAGUCCCAGAAUUGUUAGUAUGCAUAUUUAUAACUAUGAAUGCCUGGAAUACUAUGUCCUCAUAAUCCCCCUUUACAUUAUGGCAGAGGUUGCUGAGUGACCUAAAAUACCCGGGACUGUCAAUGAGCACAGUGACUCUGACAAAUGGCUUGCUUUCUUCUCUAAACUUAUUUUGGGACUAUUAAUAGGCACAAUGGUUUAUUUUCUACUCUGACUUGAGCAAAUCCCCUCCCCUAGUUUCCCUCCCACUGAUAGAAUAAAGUACAGCAGUAUGUACGCCCAACAAUGACCCAUGUUUUGAACCUUUUUGCAUUGCUUUAGUAAAUAAAAUCGUAAAUAGUCACAACCUCACACUUUAUAUGGUCUUCCUUUUGCCCGGCCCCUAGUUUACCCGUUGACUACUCUUCUGCACCACUAAUUCUCACAAACCCAUCAUUAAGAAGAGUUUGUGCCCUUUCCCAAUUCCAUCACUCCAUCCCUUUUGCCUGUAUUGACUGGGCAAAGCCCUUCUCCUGACUUAAAGUCAACAACACCGGAAGCCAUCAGUUCACUCACUUCACAUGGCUACAAUGUUUCGGUUGCCUUCUCCUUGGUUCCAUUGAACAGAGACACCUCGACUUUGUGCAUCAUUCUGGGUAUGUUAAUUACCCAAAACACCCUAUGUGUCAUUAAUAAACUUUGUAUUUAUACACUAAAUAGCAAAAGCAGGCCAAAACUAGGUGGAUGAGCCUUCACUCUUUAACUUGCAUUUCUAAAUUACUCCAGUUCCAAUUGCUGGCACAUUCCAGGGCGAGGAACCAUUCUUGCCUACCUUUAUUAACAUUUUACUGUGUGAAAUAUUGCAGGCAAGUAGCUCAGGGAGUUUGAUCGCCACCUUUUAUUUGGGGCUUUCCUUUACAGUUUGAACUGAAAGUUGUCUCCCAGAGAAGGAAGUUUAGCAUUUUUCUCUCCGUUCUUCUUCCAGGAGCCAACUGCCUGCUUAAAAAAUUUUAAAGUUGAUUUUCUAUAUCGCUACUGCCAAAAAAGUUAUUGAUAAUUUCAUUCCUUAAGAAAGGCAUUUGGAUUGCAAGGUGGAUUGAUUGUGAUGUCAUUAGCUUUUCUGAAGUAAAAAUAGCCAUUUGUAUUAUAUAUCUGAUGACUAAGCAGUGUCUCUCAGUGUACUGAGGGUGACGAGUCUGUGGAUAGAUCACUGCAACUAUUGCAGAAUGUUUUAAGACAAGUGUCUUUGCUUGGUCCAUACUACAAGCUUAACAAAAUGAAAAAGUCAAUCUUUGUGUGGCCUUUAGUAUGAUUAACUUUUAGAAAGACGACCUAAACCUUCUGAUCUUUAUAUUUUGUCUGGCACAUUGAUCACCAGCCCUUACUUAUUUUUAAAAGUGGCUGUGGACAGAUAAAUGUGAGAACAUGUCAAGUCGCUUUGAAAUCAUAGCAUCACAAUUUAUCAUCAUUCUAUCAACAUAAAUCUGACAUAUUUGGAGUAGCUGAAAGACAACUAAAGUUGGACCUAUUUAGAGAUGAUGAACGUGUUUACCCACUUACAUUUAAAAUAUGUGUGCAGAUCUAAUCAUUUCUUUAAACAUAUACUUCAAAGAGAGAUUAUGCUGAGGAAGAAAAAGAACUUUCUCUAGUGUGAAGGGUGCUUUGCGGCCGCCGAGUACUUAAGAUCUUUUUUGAAAGCUAUUGUGUAUGAGUGUGUAUGUGUGUGCAUGCGUGUUCCUGCAAGUAUUCAUCCAUUCACACGGUGAUCAGACAACAAUGGGGGCUGGUCCGUCUAUCUUGUGGGUCCUGGAGAUCAAACUCAGAUCAUCAGGCUUGGCAGCAAGUGCCUUUACCCUCCGUGCCAUCUUGCCAUCCUGUGGCUGUGCGUUUAAUAUGACUUUGCUGAUGAAAAUAGUCAUCACAACAGCAGUUCUCCGGCGUUACUGGAAAUGAAAAAUACUAUUUCUGAGAAUGAUGUUCAAGCGACUCAUCCAGCGCAGGUUAAGCUACUGCUCCUCGACUACAUCAGAUUCUGGCUGGAUGAAUUUGGAAUAUGUUUCGUGACCCUGCCUCAAGAAGAAGGAUUGCCUGGAUUUAGAGGAGUGAAGAGUGCUGGAGAGACCCCAAAGGAAUAAUCCCUUCGUGAGACUGAAGGCCUGCCAGCAGCUGAAACAGGCUGCAUUCCACUUCAGCAGAUCUUCCCUUCAAGCCCUAGCUAAUCUGAACAAAAAACUUGCAGGCCACAUGGAGAAAAAAAAGAUGUCUCCCCAGAAGUAUGGGCUGUUGCUUUGCAGUGCUGGCGACCUAUUCCCUUUGACGAUCCUUAGGUGGAGAUGGGGCAUGAGGAUCCUCCAGGGAAAUAGCUCGCCACCACUGGGCAACAGGCCAAGCCCAGAGUUCAGAGAGACACUUCCCUGAACCCAGCAAGGAAGACAAAGGCUCAGAGACAGCCACCCUUGACCAAAAUAGAAGACCUGCUGUGACAGUGGCACUGACCUUCUGAGGAAGCCAUUCUGCUCUAUUUGUUCUUUCCCUGGAAGCUAGGAGAACUUUGUCAGCUGUUUACAUACUUGAAGAUGCACUGUGCUACCCUACCCAUGGGAUAUAAUACACAAUGCCAUCUACCAAAGAUUACCCUUCCCCAAAGCAGCACAGAAAACUGGGUCUUCGAUCAAGAAAUGUGAACACAACAGAAGGAAGCCAGUUUUACAUACGACCUGAGGAUCAACAUAUCUGACUACAGCAUCUUAAAAGCAAUAGAAUGAGAGUGUGUGUUGUGUUGUGUGUCUAUUUCUUGUGUUAUGUAUCUAUCUUUUCCUUGCUCUGUGUGUCCAGUUCUGUUAUAUCUAUUUCUUCCUCGCUUUGUGUCUGUCUUCCUUGUUUUGCGUAUCUAUCUCUCCCUUGCUGUGGAUCUAAUUCUUUGUUCUAUGUCUUCUAUGCUUUGUGUCUUCUUCCGUCUUCCUUGUUUUAUGUAUCUACUUCCUCCUUGUGUUGUCUAAUUCUUUGUUACAUCUAUCUCUUCCUUGCUUUGUGUGUUUCUCUUCCUUGUUUUAUGUAUCUACUUCUUCCUUGUGUGUCUAAUUCUUUGUUACAUCUAUUUCUUCCUUGCUUCGUGUGUCUGUCUUUCUUGUUUUAUGUAUCUACUUCUUCCUUGUGUUGUGUCUAGUUCUUUGUUAUAUCUAUCUCUUCCUUGCUUUGUGUGUCUAAUUCUUUGUUACAUCCAUUUCUUCCUUGCUUUGUGUGUCUCUCUUCCUUGUUUUAUGUAUCUUCUUCUUCCUGUGUGUCUAAUUCUGUUACAUCUAUUUCUUCCUUGCUUCGUGUGUCUGUCUUUCUUGUUUUAUGUAUCUACUUCUUCCUUGUGUUGUGUCUAGUUCUUUGUUACAUCUAUCUCUUCCUUGCUUUGUGUGUCUAAUUCUUUGUUACAUCCAUUUCUUCCUUGCUUUGUGUGUCUCUCUUCCUUGUUUUAUGUAUCUACUUCCUUGUGUGUCUAAUUCUUUGUUACAUCUAUUUCUUCCUUGCUCUGUGUGUCUAUAUCAUUCUUGCUUUGCGUGUCUGUCUUCCUUGCUUUCUUUGUUUUUUCUGUUUUGAUGUCUGUGUCUUAGUUAAGUGUCUCCUGUCUGCAGUGUGUCUUACCUAUUCCCAUGUAUCUCUUGCAUGUCUUUCUUGUAAAGCUUUGAGUUUUGUUUCACUUUCUGGUGCCUAUGUGCUCUGCCUUGUCUUCAUUAGCUGUUGUUUCUGUUUUUCUAUCUGGUUGCUAUUUCUCUUAGCUCUUCUUACUCCUGCCAUUCAUGACUCGCCUUUGGGUCACACGUUGUAUGCGUCCCUCUCUUUCUUGUGUUCACCUCACUUGCUCUUCAGUUCUCUUCAUCAGUCCUUUGACUCACCAUUUCAGUUUUUUCUGCUGUUUCUAUGCUUAGCGCAUUCUUGCUUACAUUUCCUUCCUGCCUUUAUUAGGCCACUUUCUCUUUUUCCUUCCUUUGUAUUUGUGUCUCUCUGCAUCAUUAUCUCAGCAUCAUUCUGUUGCUUUGUGUUUGCUUGUGUUUCUAUCUUCUGCUUUCCUCCUUUCUGUUCACUUUAAGCAUUUCAGUCUCUUCACAAGUCUGUGUCUCUCUUGUAUUCUAAAGUAAUCCUCUCUUCAAUAUUUCUUUGUGUAAGUACAUGUGUGUGCACGUGUGUGUGUGUAUAUGUGUGUCAUGCAUGUCAGGGGUUUCAUAGCCCCUUCCCAAUAGGUCCAGAAUGUCUCCUGUGGAGCCGUUCCUCACACCAGACUGCCCUGCGAAAUAAUCUAAGACAAAAUACAUCAUUCCAUCCAGUCAGGAUUGAAGUGGAUCUGAAGUGAACUCCCAAGUGGAAGACUUGAGACUUAAAAGGACCAAAAUACAUAGAUGGCCCAUCUUGAACUGGCUGGACAGAAUGCAGACAACUGAAAGGAGAGGGACUGUUUCUACAGAAUACCUGUGACAUCUAAGAAUCGCGAACUGCAUCAUGCGACACAAAACCUAAGCUAAGUCCAAGCAUAAGACCUAAGGACCCAAUCCUAUGGACAGAAUGUCUAAGAGAUAAAGGCCUAUGGCCCAGAACUCUGGAAGGAUAGAAACCCCAAGACCACGAAAGGAAAUUUGAAGAUGAGACCCCCUAAACCCAGCACCCCUUUCCAUUUCUUAUAUUUCUAUUUAAGUUGUCUUCGCUUGAAAUGUAAUUUUCAUUGUUACCAUUCCCCAUGAAGUUAAUAAGUUUUUAGAUUGAUAGUAUUGUGCAGAGGUCUGUUUUAAACUUGAUCAUAGCCAUUUGUUAAACUUUUGAACUUCCAUUUCUCUUCAUAUCUGCUCCACUUGAGACAGAACAAAAUCCAGCCAGUGUAUGUAGUCUGACUUUUGAUAUUCCCCCAGGGAUAAGCAUCCGUAUAGAUACUGUAUUUCCAUCCUCCCUACUUCACAAGCCCUAGGCUGUCAAGAAAAGGAAAGCAUCAGGCUGUUAGGGGAAAACAAUGUCAGGCUAUCUAGAGAAAAUAUGAAGAGUUGUUCCAGACCAAUGAGAAGAAUUAGACAAGCAAUAUGCAGAUGUGCCAACCUUCUGAGAAGCACCAGCCAGCAUCACCUUCCUUCUCUGGGCUUAGUUUCUGUCAUCAGUAUUGCUCCCGAUUAAACACAUCCUACCAUCAUCUGCUUUGGUUACAUAAAUGAACUUGUAAACUAAUCUGUUGUUGAAAGACUGCCGUCAUCGUCCCACCAACUGUGAAAGAACUCUAUACCAAAACACAUGGAAGACACCUGGACUUGUGAACAGAUGUGGAACGCAGAACUUCUGUUGACUCUUGGAUGUUUUGAGGACUUAAAAAAAUGGUGCUUACCAACAUGUCACAAUGAGUUCGUGUGUGGGUGGGUGCGUGCGUGGGUGGGUGGGGUAGUUUGUUGUUAAAUAAAAUGCUUUGUUUUGAA